GUGCCGCCCCCAGCCCCAUAGGAGCCCGCCGCCUCCCUCCGGAGCGCUGUGGGUCGGGUUUGGGCCCGGGCAGAGCUUCCAGGGAAGGCGUUUUGCUGGCCAAAAGAAGUGUAGAAACGCCCUGCCGAGAUCCAGGUAAGGCAAAAGUUACCCUUGCUUUCCUUCCGAGCCGGGGAAGGGGGAAGCAGCAGGAAUAGCUCAGACCCACCAGGGCUGCUCCCAGCUGGCAAGAAAUACCCUGCAGCUCGGAGAGGCACCGGCAGCGUGAUUUCUUCACGGCUCCCAGGUGUGAAUCACCUGCAGGAUCUCUUUUUUUUCCCCUCCAAGAGCCCCGGACCUGGCUCUGGGUUCUGCUCCUUUCCCCGCCUGCACCUGCCCCACCGCCUCCCCGGGCUCCGCGCUGCAGUCACCGCCCGUGCUCGCUUUGCCUUUACCUUUCUGCUAGGGAAAUGGUUUUAACUUCCAGCUCGCAGAGGUUCAGUCACCCAGUGUGACAAUCACCGUCCUGUGGACAUCGCCACCGCAUGUCUGAUGCUGUAACGUACCGUUUGGGACAUGGUAACGCGGGGUACCGGACAGUUCUUCCUCUCCUGCUGCAGCUGACGUUGCUUCGUGCCCUGCAGAAACAGAGAGGGGGAAGUUCCUCUGCAGCAGUGCUUGCACACCCUGUAGGACUGCAAUGGGAUGUCCCGACACCCACCAGCACUUCUGGUCCUUACUGAGCGGAACAAAUUGCUUAGUUGGGGCCAGAACCCUCAGAGGCAAGGUUUGCAGCAUGACCGAGGGCUAAAGAAGUUCUGAUUCUGUUUAGUGAUAAUCUGAGGGCACUGAAUUUGUGUCUCAGUAGCUGUGCAUUUGUUACCCUGAGCAUAUGAAGCUGUUAAAUUUUUAUUGACGUGCAGUAUUUAUGUUUGUAAUAAGCAUUGAUACAACUCCAUUAAAUCCUGUCUGAGUCCUCCAUCAUCCCUACGGUAUAGGUUUGACUUCUGUUUUACAGCCGGGGGAUGUUAAACAUGAAGAUUAAUUGCUGUGCCAUAACGAAUUAGAGAGAGUCGUGUGACAUGUCUGCUGCACUUCCCAGUCCUCUAGGUAACACGACUUCCACUCACUAAUAUUGUAUGGAACGAUAAAGAUGUAUUUCGUGUGACACAGAGAGACGUGUUCGAAUAGCUCUAGUGGAGAGGGUUUUUUUUUCAGAUGUUUACCCUAAAUGCCCACAGUGGCACAAUAAUCUCAACUGGCUGCUCCUACUGUAGAGGUUCUCUGGAAACAAACGAAUGCUUUCUCUUGACCUGUUACCUUGGUAACAUCCUUGUUUCUAAAUGAAAGAAAUUCCUUGUUUCCAAAUUAGCCUUUACAGAUAAUUUAUGGUAUCAUAGAC